CGAGGACGAACGCUGGCGGCGUGCCUAACACAUGCAAGUCGAACGGGGUGAAGAGCUUCGGCUUUUCACUUAGUGGCGAACGGGUGAGUAACGCGUGAGCAAUCUGCCUAUAUCAGGGGAAUAACAGUUAGAAAUGACUGCUAAUACCGCAUAAGACCACGAAGGGGCAUCCCUACGAGGUAAAAGAUUUAUCGGAUAUAGAUGAGCUCGCGUCCAAUUAGGUAGUUGGUGAGGUAACGGCUCACCAAGGCGACGAUCAGUAGCCGGUCUGAGAGGAUGAACGGCCACAUUGGGACUGAGAUACGGCCCAGACUCCUACGGGAGGCAGCAGUGGGGAAUAUUGGGCAAUGGGGGAAACCCUGACCCAGCAACGCCGCGUGAGGGAAGAAGGCUUUCGGGUUGUAAACCUCUUUUACCAGGGACGAAGAACGUGACGGUACCUGGAGAAAAAGCAACGGCUAACUACGUG
rnacentral:rRNA from 1 species